rnacentral:lncRNA from 1 species
AUAGGUCUACAUGGCUUUACUCUAGACUCCCAAAGAUGAUGGACUACCACAUUUCAGGCUUGGACAGAAUUUCCUGGAUGGAUCAUCUUGUCACAGCAGAUCUCUUACAGAGAACAUCUUCAUUGGUGAAGCAUUCAGAAGUUGAAAAUGUGUAGCCAUUGAGAAAAAGCAAAAUCAAGGGGAGCAAAGGAUUGUGCAAACUGGAGGACAUGGGAGGUUCUUGGUCAGAAGAAAAUCUUAGAAGUCUUUUCCUUUGUCAAUACAAGAUAUGAGUGCUGGCUUGUGAAGCGCACUACCCUGGAGAACACUGCUCCUCUGAUUUCUGGGUGAAUGAACCUUGACUUUCCUGACCCUGUUAGUUGGCAAGCUAUCAAUAUGAUGCCCUGCAUGCACCAUGACGACUGUACUCUACCUUAAAAUCUAGUUGACCUGCACACAACUGAGGCCAUAGCCUUUAGGUUGGUGCUCAAAUUAGAUUGACUGUUGAGAGAGCCAUCGUGUCCCCUGGAGCAAUGUCCUCCCUGCAUCUUAGCAGAGAACACGUGGUCCUGAUUGGUACCCAGUUGCCCUCCUCCUGCUCUUCUCUGUAUUAUUCUCUGCCUUGCUUUUAAUGUAGAAGACUUGCUUUAAUAGAUCUGGUCAUAGGGGCCGGAGGAGGGUUCAUUCUGAGACUG